CAGAUGCUGGUGAUGAAGGACAUUCUCCAGGAGCUUUUCCCUUUCUGACCUAAGUUUCCAGCCACUUGCUGCUUUCUCAUUUGGUAUGAGGGGCUGGGGUUCUGGUUAGCUUUACCAGUCAACAACACACCUUAGAGUCCCUGAGAAGGGAGACUUGUGGACCUAUCUGUAUGGAUUUAUCUUGAUUGCUGAUAGAUGGGGGACAGUCCAGCCUACUGUGGGCAGCCCCACUUCCAGAGCACUGGAGUUUCUAAUAGUUCCUCGAAAUGUUGCUCCCAUCUACUUAAAUGCAACAAAGGGCAGAAGAACAUGUAGAACACAGUGCUGGAGAAAGUUUCAGGAGCUGAACUGCAAUACCUGAGCCCAGCCUCAUCCUCAUUCUUUCCGCCUGGUCUUCUGGUACACCUCUCAACUGGGUAAACUCCCCCAUUCAUCUUGUCAGAACAGAUCAGAAGAAAAAAAGGGAUCUGAAAAUCUUCUCCCAAUAUUUGAUAGAACUGCAUACGUAAUAGAUUUAACUAAAGAAUAGCUGUACAAGGGGUGUCUUGAAAAAUAAAUUUACACACAGAAUUCCAAUAGCACAGGAAAGCAGUGACUUGAAGAGCCUGAGACUUCCGUGUGUUCUCUGACCACUGUGCAGUUUCCUUGCUUGGAAGCCACCGACACUCCGAUAAUACUUCAGAAGAAAUGCGUUAAUGGGCUUCUACAUGUGUCUGAUUUGUCUGUAUGCAUUUCUUCUUUUUGUACAUAAAAAUUUUACAUUUUCUGCCCUGUAGGUUUGUUUCUUCAUUUAGUUUAGC
ensembl:lncRNA LOC120094218 uncharacterized LOC120094218